AUGAACGCUGGCGGCGUGCUUAACACAUGCAAGUCGAACGAUGAAGCCCAGCUUGCUGGGUGGAUUAGUGGCGAACGGGUGAGUAACACGUGAGUAACCUGCCCUUAACUCUGGGAUAAGCCUGGGAAACUGGGUCUAAUACCGGAUAGGAGCGCCUACCGCAUGGUGGGUGUUGGAAAGAUUUAUCGGUCUUGGAUGGACUCGCGGCCUAUCAGCUUGUUGGUGAGGUAAUGGCUCACCAAGGCGACGACGGGUAGCCGGCCUGAGAGGGUGACCGGCCACACUGGGACUGAGACACGGCCCAGACUCCUACGGGAGGCAGCAGUGGGGAAUAUUGCACAAUGGGCGAAAGCCUGAUGCAGCGACGCCGCGUGAGGGAUGACGGCCUUCGGGUUGUAAACCUCUUUCAGUAGGGAAGAAGCGAAAGUGACGGUACCUGCAGAAGAAGCACCGGCUAACUACGUG
rnacentral:rRNA from 1 species